rnacentral:tRNA from 1 species
UAGGCUGUGGCUCAGUGGCAGAGUGCUUGCCUCGCGUGUGUGAGGCACUGGGUUUGAUUCUCAGCACCUUAU